AUUUUGAAAAGGUAUUAAUAAAAUUAAAAUUUCAUAUAUUGAGGGUUUCAUAAAAACAACAAGAUAUCAUCUGCAUAGAGAUUAAUUUUGUGUUGACUUAUUAGUAUGAAUUCCAUUUAUUUCACUGUUCUGUCUUAUUGCUGCCACAAUUGUUUCUAUGAAGAUGGCAAACAGUGAAGGAGAGAGUGGGCAUGCAGGCCGUCUUCCCCGUCGGAGUGUGAAUGCAGGUGAUGUGAUCCCAUCUGUGACACUGUAGCUUUGGCUGAGGUGUACAGUAUUUUAACCCAGUGGGUGAACGACUCUCCGAAGCCAAAUCUAUGCAAUGUAUUAAAGAAGAAUGUCCAACUGACUGUCAGAUGCCGUUUCUGCAUCUAAUGAUGUAAUCGUGGUUUUAGUAUGGGUAUGCUGAGCAGUAUUGACUAAAUUAAAUAAUCUAUGGAUGUUGUCCGAGGCAUGUCUUGUCUUGAUGAAAUCUGUCUGAUCAGGAUGGAUUAUAGUAGGAAUGACUGUCUGUCUGUAACUGAGUGGCGAGAGCUUUUGUAAUGAUUUUCAAGUCUGUAUUCAUUUGUGAGAGUGGCGGGUAACUGGAGGGUUGUGUUGGGUCUUUAUCAGGUCUCAAUAACACUGUAAUGGCCGGUAACUGGAGGGCUGUGUUUGGUCUUUAUCAGGUUUCAAUAACACUGUAAUGGCCGGUAACUGGAGGGUUGUGUUGGGUCUUUAUCAGGUUUCAGUAACACUGUAAUGGCCGGUAACUGGAGGGUUGUGUUGGGUCUUUAUCAGGUCUCAAUAACACUGUAAUGGCCGGUAACUGGAGGGUUGUGUUGGGUCUUUAUCAGGUCUCAAUAACACUGUAAUGGUCACUGUGCUCAUGUUUGAUGGGAUUUGUGAUGCAUGUUUAAUUUCUCUUACCAGUCUAUUGAAGAGUGGAGAUAAUAUGUCCCAAAAAUGUGUAUAGAUUUCUGCAGGGUAACCAUCCGGUCUGGUGAUUGGUUGUUAGGCAUUUGGUUGAGGAACUUAUGGAGUUCUUCUGAUGUUAAUGGUGCAUCAAGCAGAGGUGGAGAUUUCAGGUGUAGGGAGUACAAAUCCAGACCAAGAUUUUGUUUCAACAAACCAGUUGAGUCUCUGUGACUGUGACUCUUUAUAUUCAUCUGGUUGGUUGAAACAAAAUCUUGGUCUGGAUUUGUACUCUCUGGACCUGAAAUCUCCACCUCUGGCAUCAAGGGCAUCUGCUGUUUCAUUGGUUAAUAUGGGUAAGUCUAGAUUAUUUUUAAAUGAUUCUAUAUCAACUGGAUCUGGUUCUGAGAAGUAUAGGUUCUUAUAAAAUGUUCAAAAGAUGUUAAUUUUGCGUGAUUAUUGAAAUAUUUAUUAGAGGAGUCACUUUUGCUUAAAAUUAAUGCUUGUAAUGGUCAGGUGAUCUUAUUUAUUGUGGAUUUUUUUUC